UACAUUUAGUACUAACGACUAAAUGACUUUAUCGCGCGUAUCCAAACCAUUACGUCUGUAACCCAACCACCCCUCGUAACCCAAUCACCCCGGGCCACCACUCGGCACCGUGCCCGGGGAAUAAUCCCGCGCAAGCAUCAUCCCGUCCUUUGUUAGUCGGUCAUUCGCGAGCAACCCUUCCCCAAGUACACACGUGUGUCACUGUAUCUAAUCGCUUUCUUUCGCUUUGGACGUUUCUUUUGUACCCAGUCGCGACCGUUUUGUCGAUUACGCUUCGAAUACCAUCUAUUCCAACACUCGCCGUAUCGCAUUUACACAAUCGCGACCGUUUCGCCGAUUACGCUUUAAAUACCAUCUAUUUUCAGCACUCGCCGUAUCGCAUUUAUUCCGUUCUACUCCCGAACUUCACCCUCGGGACAAUUUACGCUUGUGGAAUACCAACUCACCACCUCGACCUUUCUGGAUGCCUCCCAAGAGAAGAGCAACCGUCAACCACAAGCUGGUGAGGGGAGCCAAGCAGCCCAGGACAACCAGAAGACAAACCCCUGGAGUACACAUUGUACAGGAGGCAACAGCUGAUGGUGAGUCUGCCAAUUACGGCAAUAUCGAAGGUGGCAACAGAAUUAACGUACAAUCGGCGCAGCUUGUAAAUGCCGCACAGGCUGCCAACUCGGCUACCCAGGUAAACGAGCAACUGGAAAAAAUACUCCAGUUGCUGGAACAUUCAGCGCCUGGCCCGGUUAGCGCAAACCAACAGGUAAGGCGUGGUUUUAGUUCCCCCGCCAUUUCGCCCAACAUAGGGAGAAUCCCCGAUGCCCUCAACGAGGCCGACGGUGACGCGGCUUGGCCAGCCAAUCACACCGCAGGAUACGGGGAUUCCCUUUCUUUCCGUGCGGACGGGAUAGACGCGCACGUCAAACAACAGGUGAGGGAAAAAAUCUGGCGUGGCGAGUAUGUCGACCUCGGCACAAUCCUACCAAACAACGAGGGAGGUCACGAGGACGGUACGAUUACCAUGGCGUACGACUCCUCAGUAGGCACUCCGAGGUCCGCACAACCCAGGGGUUGCUGUCCUACAUGGAAACCAUAAGGACGGCGGCACUUCGAUUCGGGGGGGAUGCCUGGUCAACCUACGACCAACAAUUCCGACACAGAAUGUCAAGGGACCCCUCACGACGCUGGGACAACAUCGACGGGGAGUUGUGGCUGAAGUACAUGGUAACACAGCCGGUACGACAACCAGAAUCAGGCGGACGGGGCGCAAUGACACGCGUACAGGGGGACAUCGCCAGUCAGGUAUGCUGGGAUUUCAAUAAAUUUGGCUGUAGCAGGGUUAACUGUAAGUACACUCACAAAUGCGGUAAGUGUGGCAAACAUUCCCAUAGCUCUAGGACCUGCUUUCGAGGGAAUGGGGUCCAACCGACCCCAUACAAGCCCAAUCAGCCUUUUCCUAACAGAAAACAACCCGGCAAGGCAGGUAAAUUCAAUGGCCCCUUCCCCCGUGGACCUCAAUGAAAUGGCACCUUGGUUACGCCAAUAUGCUAGGGUCAAUUACAGAGAUGCAAAUUAUUUAUGGGUAGGUUUUAGCUUUGGCUUUAAGCUCGAGUUCCAGGGAAGCCGCACGGGUCGCCUGGCACGAAACUUGCGAUCAGCCACGCACCAAGACACGGCAGGCUACGUGAAACAAAAACUACAAAAGGAAGUCGACCUUGGCAGGAUGGCGGGCCCCUUCAAGGACACCCCCCUAGACAACCUCCAAGUAUCCCCAAUAGGCCUGGUGCCCAAGAAGCAGCCAGGAUAUGGUCAGCACCUGGGUAAGCAUGCGGAGGAAUUCCGUCUAAUUCACCAUCUAUCCUAUCCCAGGGGUAAAUCUAUAAAUGACUUCAUAGACACAGAGGCCUGCUCCGUUGUGUACGCAAGAUUUGAUGAAGCUACCCAUAUGGUUCAACAACUGGGAAAGGGAGCACUACUAGCAAAAUUCGACAUUCAGUCGGCCUUUAGAAUUAUACCAGUCCACCCAUCCGAUUUCGAGCUGCUAGGCAUCAGAUUCGAAGGUGAGUUCUAUUUCGAUAAAUGCUUACCAUUUGGCUGCUCCAUAUCUUGCGCCAUAUUUGAAACGUUUAGUACCUUCUUGCAAUGGUGCAUGCAAUCGCAUCUUCCAACGCGUCCGAUCAUGCAUUACCUGGACGACUUCCUAACGGGGGGCACAGCAGGCACCAGCCACUGCUCAGACAACCUCAACGGAUGCGUGAAUACACUUGAACAGCUUGGGGUUCCUAUUGCGCACGACAAGACGGCGGGCCCCACAACCAAACUGACAUUCCUAGGGCUGGAAAUCGACACCAUUGCAAUGCAGAUCAGAAUCCCAGAGCCCAAGAUCAAGGAGGCAACAAGGGAAAUCCAUGACAUCCUGUCAACAGGUAACAUCAAGGUUGCAAAAAGGGCCCUUCAGUCCCUCAUAGGCAAGCUUAACUUUAUGUGCAGGGCUAUACCAAUGGCAAGGGCAUUCAGCCGCAGGCUAAUCGAUCUGCUUAGCAAAGGUAAGCAACCAUUUCACCACAUUAGGAUUACCAGCUGGGUCAAGGAAGACCUACAAAUGUGGUUAACAUUUCUUACGAGUUACAACGGCAUUUCAGUGUUUCAGGACCAACUAUGGGUGGACAGCGAUUUCCUCCAGCUGUUUUCAGACGCAGCGGGCGGCGCCGGCUUUGGGGCCUACAUGCAGGGCAAAUGGUUUAACGGCGCAUGGCCAACCCAGUGGGUGACGGAUGGAACUACACGGGACUUGACGCUCCUGGAGCUGUUCCCCAUCACACUGGCCAUCCAAAUCUGGGGCAAGCAACUCGCAAACAAAAAGGUCCUCUUUUACUGCGACAACCAAGCCGUCGUAACAAUAAUCAACAAGCAGUCAACCAAGGCCCCCAGAGUGAUGAGCCUACUCCGUCGCCUAAUCCUGCAGUGCCUCCGAUAUAAUAUUAUGUUUAAGGCAAAGUAUGUAUGUUCCACUGCUAACACUAUUGCCGAUGCUCUCUCGAGGUUUCAGCUCAAACGCUUCCGAGAGGCAGCACCAGCCGCGGACCAGAACCCCACACCUAUCCCGUGCAACAUAUGGCUGAUCUGAGGCAGGAAGCCGGCAGACUCCUACAACAAUCUCUGUCUACUAAUACAUGGGCCACUUACCAAACAGGCAUCAAUGCCUUGCACCAGUUCCGGUCCGCACACCAGCUACAAGAGUUUGGAUGGUGGGAUCCAGCUACAUGGCCAGGGCACGGCAGUACUUGCUCCUGAAGGGCACCAGUCCGAACCAACCGAGGAUGCUAUGGCUGGCACGAGGGGGGAUGAGGUGGAAGGAGCUGGACACCAUUCUGGAUGCACAGGUCAAGGCGACACGGCGCAGCCCCAGAGCCCUCAUCAUUCACCUGGGCUCCAACGACCUGUGCUCGGUCAAGGGCAGCCAACUCUACCUUGACAUGGUGGCAUCAAUCCUUCGGAUACAACUCCAGCUUCCUGACACCAGGAUCAUCGUAUCCUCAAUGCUGCCCAGGCGCUACUGGCACGAUGCCAGGGACCCACUAAAGAUCGAGGGGAUGCGGAAGAAUAUCAACCGCCGACUGGCCAACCGAGUCAAAGAGCUCGGCGGUACAAUGGUGCCACAUCCCCAGAUCCUGGCAUCAGACAAGACAUGGUACGCCUGGGAGGGCGUCCACCUCAGCGACAAAGGACUGUGUGUGUUUACGGACAAUUUAUUGCAUGCCCUAGCGCUCGUUUUGCGCCAGUAAGGAUAUUAUCUCCACAGGUUAGUGUUUCCGUUCAGUACAUAGGCAAGCCGGGCAACAAUGCUAUCUCCGCGUAUCGCGUGGCCGUGGGUGUGGGGUAGCACUCGGGUGCUUUGUGGCGGGGUUCUUGUGGGCUACACUGCUAGUAACAAAUUAACUUGCUUCCAAAUUAAUACUCGUGCUUAAGGCUACCUGCUUUUCAGCGGGAACCUUUCCGGGGUUACCUGCUUCUCAGUGGGAACCUUGU